rnacentral:tRNA from 1 species
GCCUGGCUCGCUCAGUUGGUGGAGCGUGUGACUCUUGAUCUUGGGGUCGUGAGUUCAAGCCCCACGUUGGGCA